GGGAAUGUAGCUUAGUGGUAGAGUGCUUGCCUAGCAUGCAUGAAGCCCUGGGUUGGAUUCCUCAGUACAACCU
rfam:Dipodomys ordii contig_30231, whole genome shotgun sequence.